rnacentral:rRNA from 1 species
UGUUAAUAGCAUAUUCAUUUUGACGUUUAGCUGCAGAAGAAGCACCGGCUAACUCCGUGCCAGCAGCCGCGGUAAUACGGAGGGUGCGAGCGUUUAAUCGGAAUUACUGGGCGUAAAGCGCAUGCAGGUGGUUUGUUAAGUCAGAUGUGAAAGCCCGGGGCUCAACCUCGGAAUUGCAUUUGAAACUGGCAAACUAGAGUACUGUAGAGGGGGUAGGAAUUUCUAGGUGUAGCGGUGAAAUAGCGUAGAGAUCUGAAGGAAUACCGGUCGGCGGAAGGCGGCCCCCGUCGGACAGAUACUGACACUCAGAUGCGAAAGACGUGGGGAGGCAACAGGAUUAGAUACCCUGGUAG